rnacentral:misc_RNA from 1 species
UUAAGUUCAGCGGGUAUCCCUACCUGAUCCGAGGUCAACCAGUGACGAGAUUUAACGGCCGCGGCCGCCCGCGCCCCGAAGCGAUUAAUGAAAUCACGACGCUUGGAGGCGGACGGCUCAGCCGGGGGACUUUGAGGCGCGCGGGGGGACCGCGGCGCCCAACACCAAGCCAAGCUUGAGUGGUGACAUGACGCUCGAAC